UACGAAGGGGCUAGCGUUGUUCGGAAUCACUGGGCGUAAAGGGCGCGUAGGCGGCCGAUCAAGUCGGGGUGAAAGCCUGUGGCUUAACCACAGAAUGGCCUCGAUACUGUUUGGCUUGAGACCGGAAGAGGUUAGUGGAACUGCGAGUGUAGAGGUGAAAAUUCGUAGAUAGUUCGCAAGAACACCAGUGGCGAAGGCGGCUGACUGGUCCGGUUCUGACGCUGAGGCGCGAAAGCGUGGGGAGCAAACAGGG
rnacentral:rRNA from 1 species